rnacentral:siRNA from 1 species
UCUCCUUCUCUAUACGCUUGAUGG